GGGAGAAGAGGAAGCCUCGUUCGGUAGCCUGUCAGGAAAGUUUAAAGUAGACCCUAGUACACCUUUCAAAACCAGAGGAAACAAAAACUGCUGAGCGCGUGGCUGGACGUGACCUGUAGGAUCUUGUAAGCAUAUUUUGCUUCAGUCUGGUGAAACAAGGAGCCACUGGAGGUUCUGUUGAUUUUUCACAGGAUUCCUGCGACUGAUUCCUUGACAACAGACUGGAGGGGCCAAGGGUAGGAGCAGGGAAUGAUUGGGGAUCUAUUGCAUAACCAGGGCAAGAAAAGUCUCACGAUUUUAAAGUCCCAGCUGUUGCCUAAACUUUCGAACCUGAUACUAUCCAGCAAAACAGAAUAGGGGAACAUCAGUCAAAAACAAGAUGAUUCCCGUUCUCAGAGCUUCCGCGCGUCUCUCUCCUUGCCGAGCCACUGUAGAGGCAGCCAGCCGCUGCGCAGCGGGAUACCCAAAUCGCGGCUUCCAAUGGCGCGGGCUCCAGCCUCCACACUGAGGCUUUUCUGUUCCUGUUCUAGCACCAGGACUGCAUUCCGAGUUGGUUUCUCUCAGCCCAGUUCUUCCUGAGUCAGCAGAGCAUAUCUCCACCGGCUUAUGUCUCCUUACUCCGCACCCUUCCUGACUUCUGAGCCAAGUCUUUCAGAGAGCCUCCAUAGCUGCUGUUAUCUGUCCACCAUGUUCUCCCGGAACCCGAUUUUUUUGUAUUUCUUAUUGUGACAAAAAUGUAUAAGAAAAUUUACCCCCUUAAAUAUUUUAAUAUAUAGUUCAAGGGUACUAAAUAUAUUCACAGUGUUAUACAACUAUUGCCAAUAUCUAUCUCUAAAACUCUUUUCAUCUUGCAAAACUAAGUUCUAUACACAUUAAAUGCUACUACCCCAUUUAUCUUACCCCACUCUCUGGCAACUACCACACUAAUUUCUCAGAUUGACACUACCCUCUAAGUGCCCCAUGUAAGUGAAGUCAUACAGCAAUUGUCUUUUUAUGAUUGGUAUCUUAGUCACUUUUCUCAUUGCUGAGACACAAUAUCUAACACUCACAAUUUAAAAGAGGAAAGAUUUAUUUUGGUUUACAGUUUCAGGAGUUUCAGCUUGUGGUUGACAGGCUGGAACAAUAUGGUGAAAGGAAGGCCUGCUGCAGAAGAAAGCUACCACAUCAUGUAGCCAGGAAGUAGGGAGAGAUGGAAGGGAGGUGCGGGGAGGGAGAGACACCUUCCAGGUCACACCCCAGCGAGUGAACUGCCUCUUCGCACCAAGCCCACCUCUUAGCAGCACAUUUAGCUAUGGAUUCAUCUGUGAACCAGUCAGCCAAUGAUACAGCACCCUCAUAAUCCAAUCACCUUCCAAAAACUCAACUUUUGAACAUUUGAGACUUUAGGGGGACAUUUCAGAUCCAAACCAUAAAACCUGGCUUAUUUCACUCAGCAUAAGAACCUCAAGACUGACAUGGUAUAGUGUAUGUUAGAAUUUCUUCUUUUAUAGGUUCCACAGUGAGCAUAUUCCACGAUUUCCUUAUCUACUCAUCAGUUAGUGGACAUUUGGGUUAUUUCUACUUUUUCAGUGUUGUACAUAAUGCUGCUAGGAAUGUGGUACAUGAAUAGCUCUUUGAGACUUUGCUUUCAGUUCUUUCAAUUAUAUUUUUAGAAGAACUAUUGUAUCAUAUGAUAAUUUUUUUAAUUUUUAGAGAAACUAUUGUUAUAGGCAAUUGAGUUAAUUAUAAAUCUUAUAGGCAGUUAGUGGGGCUAGGCUCUGGAAGGAGCCAGUGUAAAAGACCAGAUAUCUUGCAGCCUUGAAGGAGACAGACACCUCAAGACAAAAGAUCAAACAAAUGUACCCACAUCCUAAGGCUUGAUAGUCUAAAUAGGUCUCUAUCACCUUGGGGAAGCCAAGAAUCACUAAGCCAACCCCCUUGAGUCAGAGGCCCUGUUUUGUAUUCAUACCUGCUUGCUAUGUGAUUCCCCUCUGCAUCUGAUGCCAAUGUAAUCAAUUUUACCUGAGCAAUCACACUGGUAAUCUUACUGGUUGACCAUAAUUCUGUCCCACCUCAUGCUCGCCUGUCUUGUGAGUUCCCAUUUUUCCCCACCUUGGACCUACCCCACCUCAUGGUUUUGCUCUAUAAAAAUCCCUGGAGAAGGUGGGGUCCUCGGCAACCCAUUCCAGACCCCUUCUGUCUGUCUCUCAGACAGAAGCUUUCUUUCUCUCAGUAAAUACAUUCUACUCUUACUCUCCAUUGUCCCUAAAAUUCAUUCUGUGAUUUUAGAGGACACCUAGCAGGUGGGAGUUUCUCCCCCUGUACCUCUGCAGCUGUGCUUUUUAACAUUGUUGCCACCAGUAUACAAGGUUCCCAGUUUUUCUACAUCCUUAACACUUAAUAUUUCCUGCUUUUUAUAGGAGCCAUCCUAAUGCAUAUGAAGUAUUAUCAUACUGUAGUUUUAGUUUACGUUUCCCUAACGAUUAGUGAUACUGAGAAAUGUUUCUUGUGCUUGCAGUUUUUUGUAUAUCUUCUUUGGAGAAACAUCAGUCCAAGUACUUUGCUUUCCCACCACCACCAGCAUCACCACCAAGCAUUCAGCUGUUGGCCUUCACAAUGAGCUACAUCCCCAGUUCUUUUUAUUUUUUCCUCUUGACUUAGUGUCCUUGUCACUUUCUUGUGGCUCGGGUAUAAUACUGGACCCCAGCAAUUUAAAGGAGAAGAGGAUUAUUUUGGCUUCAUGUUUCUCAGUCUUUGCAUGGUCAGCUGGCUCUACAGAAGGACAGCAUGAAAGAGGGACAUGGCCAAGAACUGCUCAGGGCAUAACAGACAGAAAGCAAAGAGUCAAGAGAGAAGCCAGGAAAGGAGAUGUGCAAGGGAUACAUAACCUUCUGGAUCACACCCAUGGUGAUCCACUUGUCCCAACCAAGCCUCACCUUCUACAAAUAAGUCAGGUAUAAACUUCCGUAAUCCAACUGCCCACCAAAGGUCUGCGUAUGAUCAGAGGAGGCUUUAGGGGAAUAGCUAGAUAUAAAAUAUAUCAGAGUCUCAGUAAGCCACUAAGUUAUUGAGGCUAGGUUCAAAUUUGUGAUCCUCCUACCUCAGCCUCCCAGAGUGCUGGAUUACAGGUGUGAAUCACCAUGCCCACAUGCUUUGCUCAUUUUUAAGACAUAAUUAUAUAGGCCUGGGAUAAAGUGUUUGCUUAGCAUGAUCUUUAGGAAGGAAGGAAAGAGAGGGAGAGAGACAAGAGGAGAGAAGGAAGAUCACAUAUUUCCCCAGCAUUGUCUCCCCAUUUGUUCUCUGCUUUCUACUCCUUGCAAUUUUUUAAACAUGCCACACUGUUUGAUGCCUUUCUCCUAUGUUCCACUUACUUGGACUCAUUUUUAUAGACAACACUUUGAAAGUCAGACAGUUCGACUUUAGCUCUUGGCAACUCAGUUACAUCUCCUCCCUCUGAUAUUCUUUCUUCAGUCAGUUUUCUUACUCUGAUAAUCCAUCUCAAUGGAAGUGCAAAGAUUAGGAAAUAUGAUUUAAUCAACUCACAAAGGUAAGAGUGAAAAAAUACUGCCUAAGAGUCCCUUCUCAAGCAUUUUUACAUCAAAAUUAGCAUGCUUAUGAAUUUAGCUAAAUUUUGCAUCAUAGUAUUUUAGAUUGGAUAAAGCAAGGGAGUAAAUCAACCUGGGUAGUGAAGGAAUGAAAUUUUAGUACAGAAGAAAACAAUCCAGACAAUU